rnacentral:rRNA from 1 species
GACGAACGCUGGCGGCGUGCCUAAUACAUGCAAGUAGGACGCACAGUUUAUACCGUAGCUUGCUACACCAUAGACUGUGAGUUGCGAACGGGUGAGUAACGCGUAGGUAACCUACCUAUUAGAGGGGGAUAACUAUUGGAAACGAUAGCUAAUACCGCAUAACAGUAUGUAACACAUGUUAGAUGCUUGAAAGAUGCAAUUGCAUCGCUAGUAGAUGGACCUGCGUUGUAUUAGCUAGUAGGUAGGGUAAAGGCCUACCUAGGCAACGAUACAUAGCCGACCUGAGAGGGUGAUCGGCCACACUGGGACUGAGACACGGCCCAGACUCCUACGGGAGGCAGCAGUAGGGAAUCUUCGGCAAUGGGGGGAACCCUGACCGAGCAACGCCGCGUGAGUGAAGAAGGUUUUCGGAUCGUAAAGCUCUGUUGUUAAGGAAGAACGAGUGUGAGAAUGGAAAGUUCAUACUGUGACGGUACUUAACCAGAAAGGGACGGCUAACUACGUGCCAGCAGCCGCGGUAAUACGUAGGUCCCGAGCGUUGUCCGGAUUUAUUGGGCGUAAAGCGAGCGCAGGCGGUUAGAAAAGUCUGAAGUGAAAGGCAGUGGCUCAACCAUUGUAGGCUUUGGAAACUGUUUAACUUGAGUGCAGAAGGGGAGAGUGGAAUUCCAUGUGUAGCGGUGAAAUGCGUAGAUAUAUGGAGGAACACCGGUGGCGAA